ACCCUGAUCCAGCCAUGCCGCGUGUGUGAAGAAGGCCUUUUGGUUGUAAAGCACUUUAAGCAGUGAAGAAGACUCUAUGGUUAAUACCCAUAGACGAUGACAUUAGCUGCAGAAUAAGCACCGGCUAACUCUGUGCCAGCAGCCGCGGUAAUACAGAGGGUGCAAGCGUUAAUCGGAAUUACUGGGCGUAAAGCGAGCGUAGGUGGCUUAAUAAGUCAGAUGUGAAAUCCCCGGGCUUAACCUGGGAACUGCAUCUGAUACUGUUGGGCUAGAGUAGGUGAGAGGGAGGUAGAAUUUCAGGUGUAGCGGUGAAAUGCGUAGAGAUCUGAAGGAAUACCGAUGGCGAAGGCAGCCUCCUGGCAUCAUACUGACACUGAGGUUCGAAAGCGUGGGUAGCAAACAGGAUUAGAUACCCUGGUAGUCCACGCCGUAAACGAUGUCUACUAGUCGUUGGGGAACUUGAUUCCUUAGUGACGCAGCUAACGCAAUAAGUAGACCGCCUGGGGAGUACGGCCGCAAGGUUAAAACUCAAAUGAAUUGACGGGGGCCCGCACAAGCGGUGGAGCAUGUGGUUUAAUUCGAAGAUACGCGAAGAACCUUACCUGGGCUUGACAUAUCUAGAAUCCUGCAGAGAUGCGGGAG
rnacentral:rRNA from 1 species